AUUCACACACAGGCACUGGUCUCAGAAUUUAUUAUAUAAAGGUAUAAGACGAGUGCCUGUGAAUACACAUAUCCGUUUUUUUUUUACAGUUUAUAUGAGAAAAUACAAAACUGGCAGAAGGUUUGAAACGGAACACAAAUUAAACCUACAAUUGCUCCUCAGUGAAUAAACCAAAUAAAACAGCUAGCAAAUAACCCUAACCCUAAACCAAAUAAAACAGCUAAACAAAGAAAGAAACAUAUUUAAGAUGGAAAAAAUCUGGGGUUGCUAUUGCCUAAAUAUUCAAUAUUGUGUUGAUGAAAAACCCAAUACAUUAAGGAGCUUGGUGGUGAAAAACCCAAUUUGAUGUUAACAUGAGGGUGAAUUGGAAUUGAUCAUGCAAUUAAAAAACUUUAUCACCCAAUUAUAUAUGAAAAUGGUGGGUUAAAAACCCAAUUUGUGAAUUCUUAUCUGGAGCUCUG
rnacentral:lncRNA from 1 species